rnacentral:rRNA from 1 species
UACGUAGGCAGCAAGCGUUGUUCGGAGUUACUGGGCGUAAAGAGUGUGUAGGUGGUCCUCUAAGUUUGGUGUGAAAUCUCCCGGCUCAACUGGGAGGGUGCGCCGAAAACUGGGGGGCUUGAGUGUGGGAGAGGAAAGCGGAAUUCCUGGUGUAGCGGUGAAAUGCGUAGAUAUCAGGAGGAACACCUGCGGUGUAGACGGCUUUCUGGACCACUACUGACACUGAGACACGAAAGCGUGGGUAGCAAACAGG